CUACGGGACGCAGCAGUCGCGGAACUUUUACAAUGCACGAAAGUGUGAUAAAGCGAACCAAAGUGUUCUUCAUUUAGAAGAACUUUUCUUUACUGUAAAAAUGUAGAGGAAUAAGGACUGGGUAAGACAGGUGCCGAGCCGCCGCGGUAAUACCUGCGGUCCAAGUUGCAUCCAUUUUUAUUGGGUCUAAAACAUCCGUAGCUUGAAUUUUAAGUCUCUUGUGAAAUCCCACGUCUCAAGCGUGGGGCUUGCAGGAGAUACUGGGAUUCUAGAGAUCGGUAGACGUAAAGAGUACGCCGGGGGUAACGGUUAAAUGUGUUAAUCCUUGGUGGACUAACGAUGAGCGAAGGCACUUUACGAGGACGAAUCUGACAGUGAGGGAUGAAGGCCAGGGGCGCAAAACGGAUUAGAUACCCGCGUAGUC
rnacentral:rRNA from 1 species